GCUGAGCAAAACGGUAAAAAAAAAAAGCAUGUCAACAGUUGAAAGAUGUAGCACGUUGAAAUCAGCUUAUUCCUGUGCAUGAAUCCGUCAGAAAGCAAUGGCUUUUCGCUCUAUUUUCAUUGUGUCACCCGACUUGACCUGUUAAGAAGUCAUUAAAGGAGCAAGCACGCUCACUUCCUGGCUCUUGAAAAGGAGUUUGGCUGGCUGUUUAUUCAUGUUAGCACUUUGGAAGUAAAACACAUGAAGAGAACUUUACAGUGAAAAGCCAGUGAAUCAGAAGGAUUCGUCUGCCACAGUUAUGGAAGCACAAGCAAUAGAAAGGGAGGAGAAAGCGGCAUCAGUGUUCAGCUCCAACUCCAAAGCCACUUCCAAGUCUUCAGUAGUUAGUGCUGCUGCUAGAGCUAGAGCUAAAGCCGAAGCUGCACGCACCAGAGCCACAUUCGCUCAGAAGGAGUUAGAACUGAAAAGACAGAGAGCUAGAUUGGAUUUGGAAAAGGCUACACUAGAAGCGGAUUUAAAAGCUCUAGGACUGGAAAAGGCAGCUGCUGCUGCUAUUGUAGAGGCUGAAGUUUUAGAAGCUGCAGCAGGACCAGAAUAUGAGGAUAGGUGCAGCGCCAGUAAUCGCAUCUCAUCGCAGAUAACAUGUCAGCGUACAAAGGCAUAUGUGGAACAUCAGGCUCGAGCCAGCUUUGAAACUGCGUCGUCUGUGGAUAUAACUCCUCAUUGUUUUAAAGAAGCGUCGCCACCAAGACAGCAGGAAGCUCCUGAAUUAACUCCUGCACACAACUGUGAUGCCACACCUACAAGGAACACACAGCAAAGUGAGUACUUAUCAGCACCUCAGCCUCAGACAAGCCUGUUUAAGCGCUCCAACCCGCACUCUCAGCCUCUCAGCUCGCAACCUCAGAACCCCCAGUCCUCCUUAAAACCUAUCAGGAGCAGAGCUCUCCCUUAUUCAGUCAUUCUAGCCAAUCAAACCACUUCAUACAGAGCAACCCACAGCAUUCUUUUUCUGCUCCAGCCGCUAACAUGAUAGACUUCGCUAGGUACCUCGCCCGCAGAGAGUUGGUAACCACGGGGCUCACUAAAUUCGAUGACCAGCCUGAGAGCUACAGAGCAUGGGAGUCCUCUUUCCUUAACGCCAUUCAGGGCUUAGAGUUAACAGCCAGUGAAGAGCUGGACCUCCUGGUAAAAUGGCUGGGAAAGAAGUCAUCUCAACAUGUUAUAAGAAUACGUGCUGUCCACAUCACCAAUCCUCACGCUGCUAUCGAAUUAGCCUGGACAAGACUCCAAGAAUGCUAUGCUACCCCUGAAGUGAUUGAGAAUGCUUUAUUCAAACGAUUGGACAAUUUUCUUCAGCUAACCUCCAAAGAUAACAUCAAGCUAAGAGAACUUGGCGAUCUGCUCUUGGAACUAUUCUCAGCCAAGCAGGAUGGCUAUCUACCAGGACUGAGCUACCUUGACACUCCUCGAGGGAUUAAGCCAAUCGUGGAAAAGCUGCCACCAAACUUACAGGAAAAAUGGCUGUAUGCUGGCUGAAACUACAAAGAACCGUACAGAGUGUGUUUCCCUCCUUUCUCGUUUUUUGUUGACUUUGUCAGAUGUCAGGCAAAGGUCAGAAAUGCCCCCUGCUUUGUGUUGGUGAGCAGUAACCGCAGCCAUUACCAUAGUGAAAGAUCCACAACGAAGCAUGAUAGUGCUAGGACAGCUGUGUUUGUGCAUAGAACAGAUGUGUCAACAACAGAUUCAAGCUUGUUACACAAAACAUCUACUGACAAGAAAGGUAGUGAUGACCCAACCAAGUACUGUCCAGUGCACAAUAAGCCACAUCCUCUGGAAAAAUGUAGAUCUUUUAGAAUGAAGCCGCUAAUGGAACGCAAAAGGCUGCUAAAAGAAUACAGACGUUGUUUCAAGUGCUGUUCUGGUACUCAUGUGGCUGGAGAAUGUCCAGCAGAGCUGAAAUGCAAUGAGUGUGAAAGCAAUCAACAUUGCACUGUCAUGCACCCAGACAGUGCUGUCUCCCCUGCACCAUCUCCUCCGACAGAAUCAGACGGAGAACAGCAAAACAGCUCUCCUCCAGAAGUGACCUCCAGGUGCACCAAAGUCUGCGGCGAAGGUCUCCCACCAAGGUCCUGCGCCAAGAUAUGUUUAGUCCGGGUUUUUCCCCAAGGACAGCGAGAACGCUCAAUCAAGAUGUAUGCCAUCCUCGACGACUAGAGCAAUCGAUCACUGGCCAGGUCUGAGUUUUUUAAGCUGUUUGACAUCCAAGGGGACCAUACACCUUACCUGAUGAGGACCUGUGCUGGAACCACGGAAAUGACUGGGAGAAAGGCUGUUGGUUUUCAGAUCGAAGCAUUGAAUGGUGAAGUGUGUUUGGACUUGCCUCCGCUCAUUGAAUGUAAUGAAGUUACGAGCAACAGAUCGGAAAUCCCUUCUCCAGAGAUCGCUCACUCCCAUGCUCACUUGAGAUCCAUUGUACCUCACAUCCCAAAGAUCGAUCCUAAAGCACAGAUCUUUAUCCACAGUCAAUAGCCUUUUUGACCCGCUAGGCUUGGUCGGACCAGUGACUAUCCGAGGGCGAGCCCUACUCAGAGAACUUUCAGCUGAUGUUUACGACUGGGACACAGAGCUUCCUGCAGAACAGUUUAUCAAGUGGGAGACAUGAAAAAAAUCACAACAGGAUCUGAGCAGCCUCCAUCUUCCUCGCUCAUAUCUGCAUCAGUCCCUCUCAAGUGCUGCAUCAACUGAGCUGUGCAUGUUCUCUGAUGCUUCCAAUUGGGCCAUAGGAGCAGUAGCGUACCUGAGGGUCGUUACUACAGACGGACAAUGUGAAGUCGGCUUUGUGCUUGGGAAAGCGAAACUAGCCUCUCAGUCAGGGCCCACUAUCCCACGCCUCGAACUCUGUGGAGCUGUGUUGGCCGUUGAGAUGGCUGAGCUGAUACUCGACGAGCUUGACCACAAACCAGACGCUGUCAGGUUUUACUCUGACAGUAAAGUUGUCCUUGGAUAUAUCUGCAACGAGUCCAAGCGAUUCUUCGUGUACGUGCACAAUCGUGUCCAGCGUAUACGACAGACAACUUCUCCACAACAGUGGUACUACGUGCCUACAAAUCAGAAUCCAGCUGAUUUAGCCACCAGAGCUGUACCUGCGUCAUGGCUCACAGACACUAUGUGGUUUACAGGGCCAGAAUUCCUUCACAAACCACACCAACCAGAAACACCCAGAUCCUUUGAGCUGGUGGAUCCUGAGGAAGACGUAGAUGUGAGGCCUCAGCUGACCACUCUUGCUACUUCGCUCAGAGAAAGUGAACUCGCCUCAGAACGAUUCCAACGGUUCUCGACCUGGGAGUACUUGCUGAGAGCAGUUUCCUUCUUGAUCCAUCAGAUUCGCUCACACAGGACAAACUCAACAGUUACAUGUAAAGGAUGGCAUCAGUGCAACCAACCUCGCACUCCAGAAGAGUUACAAGCGGCAAAGAUCGUCAUAAUCAAAGCUGCCCAGAGAGAUGCUUAUCCAGAAGAGUGUGUCGUACUACUAGAGAACAGGGCCAUACCAAAAUCCAGCACGAUUCUGAAUCUCGACCCUUUCGUGUGUGAUGGUCUCCUGCGAAUAGGAGGACUUCUGAGACAUGCUUCAGUCAAUCCUGAGGUCAAAAACCCAAUAAUUCUCCCGAAACAAAGUCACGUCACAAGAUUGCUUGUGAGUCAUCACCAUGCGAAGGUGAAACACCAAGGACGGCAGUUCAUAGAGGGAGCAAUCAGGGCUGCUGGUCUGUGGAUUGUUGCUGGCAAAAGAUUAAUAGGCUCAGUUCUUCAUCGCUGUGUCACAUGCUGCAAGCUCAGAGGAAAACUUGAGACACAAAAGAUGGCUGACCUCCCUUCAGAACGUCUGAGCUCAUCUCCACCAUUCACGUAUGUAGGGUUAGAUGUUUUUGGACCCUGGAAUGUGAUCAGUUGAAGCACAAGAGGCGGAAUGGCUCAAAGUAAGUGAUGGGCUAUACUUUUUACAUGUAUGAGCACCAGGGCUGUACAUACGAAAGUUAUAGAGUCCAUGGAUACUGCCAGUUGUAUCAAUGCCCUGCGAAGGUUCUUCGCCUUAAGAGGGCCAGCUAAGCAGCUGAGAUCGGACAGAGGCACAAACUUUGUGGGAGCCAGCUCUGAGCUGUGUAUGGAACAAGCUGAUCCAGGUCAAGCCUCCACUCUUAAGUUCCUCCACGAGAAUGGUUGUACCUGGGAAUUCAAUCCCCCACACGCAUCCCACAUGGGAGGAGUCUGGGAGCGCAUGAUCGGCAUAACCCGAAGAAGUCGUGACUCCAUGUUGCUGCAAACCAGACAUAUUCACCUGACCCAUGAAGUGCUUUGCACCCUCUUGGCAGAGGUAUCUGGUAUCAUCAACGCAAGGCCUUUGAUCCCUGUCUCUUCUGAUCCCACUUCUCCAAUGAUGUUGACCCCUGCUAUGCUCUUGACCCAAAAACCGGGGAUACCUGCUCCACCUGGAGGCUUCAAUGAAAAGGAUCUCUUCAAGUGUCAGUGGAAACAAGUGCAAGCAUUGGCAAACGAAUUCUGGUCUCGAUGGAGGGAUGAAUAUCUCCACACCCUUCAGCCAAGACGCAAAUGGCACACACCAUGUCGUAACCUGCAGGUUGGAGACAUAGUGCUGCUGAUGCAGAGCCAGACACAUCGCAACGAGUGGCCGAUGGGGCUUGUCGUCUCCACCUUCCCAAGCAGUGAUGGACAGGUCUGCAAAAUUGAAGUCAGGACGUCGCAAGACAAAAUAAAGACUUUCUUGAGGCCUAUCUCUGAUGUUGUCUUGCUCCUGGCAAAAGAAAAUCAAAGUUAAAGUACAGAUGCUUUAGUGGCAUUAGUGCCAGACGGGGAGUGUUCUGCCCCAAGUGUUUAAUAUGUUAAGAAGAUCGAUUUUAUUAGAAAAGAUCUGUUUGUGUUGUUAAUUUUGAGAGUGCAUUGCUGAGCUUUUAUUUUGAAACUAUAGAAUACAGGAAGUAGGAAGCGCUGAGCAAAACGGUAAAAAAAAAAAGCAUGUCAACAGUUGAAAGAUGUAGCACGUUGAAAUCAGCUUAUUCCUGUGCAUGAAUCCGUCAGAAAGCAAUGGCUGAACACCUGCAUUUGGGUUCGCCCCCGUGCCGCUGGAUUAUGACAGCGUGGUCAAGAGCUGCGACAGGAGCAAGAGGUGGCUGGAGCUCAGGUGCUGCUGUGACAGGAGCAAUAUGCGGCUGGAGGUCAGACGCUGCCGCAACAGGAAGAAGAGGCAGAUGGUGGUCAGCAGAUGCCGCCCAGAUAUCAGCGAGAGAUGGCUGUGGAUUAGACGCCGCCAAGGCUUGGGUUCCAAGAGGAGAGAUAGGAGAGGUGUAGGGAUUUGCGAAUUUGGACCCUACGCAUGUUCACGGAUCGAGGAAGAGAUGACCAAUGAUUAGACAAAGUGAACAGCAAAUGGAUUUAUUACAAAGGAAUGUGCAAUACAGACGUCUGGGUCUUAUCUAGGUAUCUGCUGCACAUGAGACGUGUGUCUUCUGACAGGAUGUCCCAAGAAGAAGACAAAAGCUGCCCAGUAACACAAGGUUUUUAUAUGUAUGGGUCCAUGGUAAAAGUGGCUGCCGCCCCCAAGUCUGGUCCUAGGCUGGGAUAGUAACUUUAUGCUCCUUAUCUGGUGUCGUCUGUCUCCACGGCAACGCCUAGGCUUAGAGGAUGUAACCAGCUGGUUUUCUGCGUACAAAGAUCAAGGACAUCCACCAUGCUGCAUAACACUUCCUCGUCUGAUUAGCAAAUAGACAACAACUUAUCCAUUGAUUAAAUUUAUAAGGUCAUAUUUAAGCAAAUAAUGAAAGUACAAUAAAAAUAAAAUAGUCUUCAGAGGUCAGUUCAAAGCAACAAAAAAUAUUCAAAUAUUCAACUUUGUGACGCCGGCCUCAAAACUUGAAGCCCUUAACAUAAAUCAUGGCUUGUUGUCAGUGAACGUGCGAAAAGUUUUUAUUGGUACACACACCUCCUUACAGAAAUUUACAUACAUGGUAACAAUAUCCGUGAAUUUAUGUAGGCUGCACGCUGAAUUUUCGAGGACACUGCGGUCUGUGCAGUCAAAGCAGCUUUGAAGUUCUAAUUUUUCCUCAAUGGUCCACUUUUUAAUCGAUUUUACCAAAGGCUUUGCACACUUAUGUGCUUGCCUGUGUGUAGGUAUGAAGUAGAGCAAGCAUUGAUCAGAAGAGCCAAUUGGUGUGCGGAGAAUUACACGACAUGCGUUUUUAAUGCAAGUGUAGCAGUCUAGAGUGUGAUUUGCCCUCGUCGUACAUUUUACGUGCUGCUUAUAUUUUGGAAGUUCGUAAUUAAAUUUAGCUAUUAUAAUAUCUCUUCAAAUAAUGAGCGGUGAAUCGGGGUGUUUUUUUCUCAAUCUCAUUUAGCUGCGGGGAGAGUGUUUGCAGUGCUGCAUUCAUGCUAGCUUGAGGCAGAAUGUAAAUACCUUGCAGUUCAAAAACAAUGACUCCAAAAGCGAGCUGCAGUGUGUGUUGUGUUGUGUUGUGUAACAUCCGUGGAACAUCUGUGACCCAUAGCGAUACUGGCACUUGCAGAACUGUUUGUAGGGAGCAUAUUCCUGGCUUGGUUAUGUCUGAUAAGAAAGUGUUAGUCUGGACUACCUGUGCGAACUCUCUAUGGUGUCUGUGGCACACCUCGUGUGGGUGAGAAACCCACUGGGAGACACAUGUAAAUUGUCAGUACUUUUGGCACCAGAUUGUCCUGUUAAUUUGUUGGGGAGAGAUGGGUUUCUGAAAUUGGGAUUAGCAUUGGUCCCUACUGCAGAAGGGAACAUUGAAGUGACGAGACGCCGUGAAAUUUAUAGGGACAGCUAAAUGUCCUGUCGGGGCACAACUCUGCCAGCUAUUUCUAUACACCCGAUGUGUCUGAAAGACCCCCCACAAAAAUGAUUUACAGGCUGUAAAAGCUGGCGUCAUAUAACAAGCACCAUGUGUACCUGAUCUGAUGUGUACCGGUCCUUGCAUAAACUGGUACUGAACCGCUGAAGAAAUAAUCAAUUAGUUCCUUUGUAUUCAUUAUCCGAAUCUGAACAAUCUUUCAUUUUGAAAAAUGACCGGAUUCUCUUGGGUACAUCUCGGUCACUUGAGUGCCAAAAUUUUCACCCACAACCUAAUAAAAUGAGUAGAAAACAAAUGUAUUUGGAAAUGUUCUUUUUGAAGGGGAAAAGCCCUGAUGAAGAGGCAGAAGAAGAACCUAACAACUUCCAAGAAAAAGAAAGUGAUUAACCACAUCAAAACUCACACCUUUUUUAGGCUCUUUGUGAGAAAGUGUACACGGAGCACACAUGGCUUUUCUUGUACACGGAAAUAAGAUGGUUAACCAGAGGGAAAUUGCUUGCAAGGGUAUUUGAAUUACAAAGGCCGCUGCAAAGAUUUCUCUCAGAAAAGAAGUCCCCACUGGCACCACGUUUCAGUGAUGAGGAAUGGGUCGCAAACCUGGCUUACUUGGGUGACAUAUUCAGCCCUCUCAAUUAAUUUAAUCUGUCACUUAAGGGGGAAAUGACAUCGGUCUUCAAGUUGGAAGAUAAAGUAGUGGAUUUUAAGUCAAACUGGAUUUUUGGUGACGGUAACAUGAACAGAGGCAUAUUUUAUGUUUCAAAUAGCGGGAAUUUUGUGUGAGACUGAGCCUUCAUUCUCCCACCUGGUGCACAAUCACCUGCCUUUGCUAUGAAAAGAGUUUGAGCCCUACUUCCCAACCAAAAAGGACCCACGAAAUGCCAAGGGAUGGAUCAGCGACCCAUUUAUCAACACACCAGGUGAAUUCAGCAUGACUGUGCAAGAAGAUCAACUGCUGGAGAUUGCAAAUGACGCUGGCUUUAGUCAACGACUCUGUCAAUAUCCUGGAUUAAAGUCAUGGUAGAAUACCCGGAAUCACCACCAAAGCACUGAAAACCCUGGUGCCAUUUCCGAAAUCCUAUCUGUGUGAAGUUUUCUGCAGUGACAGGAACUAAAAUGAAACAACAGAAUAGACUAGACAUAAGUAACACACUUGGGUGUCAUUGUCACCCAUUAC